rnacentral:ncRNA from 1 species
UUCACGGAGAGUUUGAUCCUGGCUCAGGACGAACGCUGGCGGCGUGCUUAACACAUGCAAGUCGAACGAUGAAGCCCUUCGGGGUGGAU